rnacentral:rRNA from 1 species
CCUACGGGAUGCAGCAGUGGGGAAUAUUGCACAAUGGGGGAAACCCUGAUGCAGCGACGCCGCGUGAGUGAAGAAGUACUUCGUUACGUAAAGCUCUAUCAGCAGGGAAGAAACACUGACCUUACGGUCAGCAGACGGUACCUGCGUCAGAAGCCCCGGCUAACUACGUGCCAGCAGCCGCGGUAAUACGUCGGGGGCAAGCGUUAUCCGGAUUUACUGGGUGUAAAGGGAGCGUAGACGGUGCGCCAAGUCUGGAGUGAAAUGCCGCAGCUUAACUGCAGAACUGCUUUGGAAACUGGCGAACUAGAGUGCGGGAGGGGUAAGCGGAAUUCCCAGUGUAGCGGUGAAAUGCGUAGAUAUUAGGAGGAACACCGGUGGCGAAGGCGGCUUACUGGACCGUAACUGACGUUGAGGCUCGAAAGCGUGGGGAGCAAACAGGAUUAGAUACCCCAGUAGUC